rnacentral:lncRNA from 1 species
AACCCCCCUUUAGCUAGGGGGUGAUUCGAAACUAUGUUUAUGCUUGCAAUAUGAAUUGAUUAUCUUUAGUUGGAAUUUCAUAAGUUGUGGAUUCAAUUUGUUUAACCGUUUGAUUGAUAACUUAUUUAUGUAUGUUUAUUGAGAGUGCACGCUUAAUUUUCAUGCAUAAAUAUGACGCUAGAAUAUAAGUGAGUUUCACCUAAUCGUUAUGAACUUAUAUUCACAAGUAGUGGAGGUUGCUUAUAAACAAUCGCGUUAAAUGAAUUCUUGGCACUAGUAGUUUCAUGCUUUUCAUAGUAACGAAUGCCUCGUCAACACUUAUAGUUUUCAUGAUGCUUAAUGAUCUUUGAUUGUAUCUUUAUUGUGCUUUUCACGUAAAGGACUUUUGGAGAAUGUUGUGAAUUGCGUUGCGCAAACCCAUCCAAUUCAUUAACUUAAGGAGAACUUGACGGUUAAUUUAAGCGGACCUAAUUAACAUAGGGUGUUGAGUUUCAUAAUUUAUCGAAAGACCAACUGAGAAUCGAUCUUGUAUUGCAAGUGUGACAUGUGUGGAGAAGAACCCCUUAAGCUAUUCCAUCAUCCAUAUUUUUCAUUGCAUUCAUAUUUACAUUUUGCCCUUAAUUAUAAUCUGUCCAUUUAAUUUAAUCUCGUCAAAAACAACCCAAUUCCCCCCCCCCCAUAUUUUGUUAAAGUCUUAGUCGUUCAAAUCUAUCUUAUUUUAUGCUUUUAAGUAUUUGGAGUCUUUUGAACUUGUUUUGAGUCUUUUGGUUUGUCUUAGUGUUUUAAAAGUUAAUUUUAUUUAUUUGAGUCAAGUGUUUAGCAUCCCUAGUUAAUCCCCGGUUAGAACGAUCCCUACUUACAUCAUUACUACAAUUGUCACAAAUAGGGUUAAAUUUGUGUGUCAAGUAAUUUUCACAUCAAAUUUUGGCGCCGUUGCCGGGGAUUAGCAAAUUUGCUAAUCCCUUGGUUCUUUUCUUUUUGUUUAGUUUGUUUUUGUUUUAGUUUCUGACUUAGUUUUGUUUUCUUUGUUUUGUGUUACUCUUGAUAUUUGAUUUAGUUUUGUUUCUUUGAUUUCAGAUACUAGAGAAGUAAGACAUGGAUUUUGCUAACAUUCAAGCUCAAUUGGCGAAUCUUACUUCUCAAUUGUCAUAGAUUGCCGGAAGGACCAUAAUGCAAAGUGUCCCUACAUUUGGCAUGUCCUAUGGGCACGGAUAUCAAACUCAUCAACAUCCUCAAUUCAAUGUGAACGAAGAUGCUUGGGGUUAUCAAGGCUAUGAUCAACCAAGCAACAACAUGUUUUCCAACGCUUACAAUUC